ACGGAAUAGAUACCCCGGUAGUCCACGCCCUAAACGAUGAUUACUCGACAUACGCGAUACACAGUGUGUGUCUGAGCGAAAGCAUUAAGUAAUCCACCUGGGAAGUACGUCCGCAAGGAUGAAACUCAAAGGAAUUGACGGGGGUCCGCACAAGCGGUGGAGUAUGUGGUUUAAUUCGAUGAUACGCGAGGAACCUUACCUGGGCUAGAAUGCUAUCUGACUGUACCUGAAAGGGUAUUUUGUAGCAAUACACAGAUAGUAAGGUGCUGCAUGGCUGUCGUCAGCUCGUGCCGUGAGGUGUUGGGUUAAGUCCCGCAACGAGCGCAACCCCCACUCUUCAGUUGCCAGCACGUAAUGGUGGG
rnacentral:rRNA from 1 species